rnacentral:rRNA from 1 species
AUGCCGGCGGACCCUUCGAGAUCCGUCGUGGUGUCCACGGAGGAAGAGUUCUUGCUCCAUAGGGUGGUGUUCCUGGUGUUGGGGAUGGUGCUGAUGGCUCUGGCGCACACGCUUAGCCAGUCACUGGUGUUCUACUAUGGUGGCGCCAUGACCAUCGGCAUUUUCCUUGUGGUGCUGAUUAUACUCUUUCAGGGAAUGAAGCUUUUGCCUACUGGCAGAAAGAGUUCGCUUGCUAUUUUUGCAUACUCUUCAGUUGUUGGCAUGACAACAUAUUUUCUGCACUAUUUGUCGGGACUUCUGCGUUCAAUUCUUGUGGAAAUGGGAAUCGCCGAAGACAUGCAUAAUCCUCUGGGUAUAUUCCUUCUCGUUUGCGUCAUCCUAGCUGGAGCCUGGUUUGGUUUCUGGGGUGUCCGUAAACUUGUUCUAACGGAAGAAGGAUCUGUUGAUGCUGGCGUGGCCUAUUUCGUCGAGUGGGCUAUCUUGAUUGUUUCUGCUGUCUUGAUCCUCCAGAGUUCUCUGGACUAUCUCCUUGCAUUUGCAGCUUUAGUCUUUUGCAUAAUCAUCAAGACAGUUUCAAGGAUUGAAGGGAUGUCAGGAUUUAUGCGCCAUUUAUCAAGUGGACUUUCCAAGGGAAUCACACGCGGUCUCUCCCGCUAUGAAGAUUUGGGAGGGUAUUCCAACACGAAUGGAACUCACCAAGAUGGGUUCAGCAAGCUUCAUGGUGAAUACCUGAAACAUACGCCAAGAAGAAAUUCACCUCUUUCAGGCUCACAGAAGAAAAUAUCGUCACAAGUUCUUGAUAGGGACAGCUACUAUUCGACCUACCACACUACCCCAGAGAGGAGAAAGUUUACGAAAGAGGAAUACGAAGCAUUCACCAAAGAAGAGACAAGAAAAGGUAUGCAGCAGUUACUGUCCUCGCCGGAUUUCAACAGGUGGGCGCUCGCCAAUGCGGACAGGAUAUCAGUGACUCCAGCAGGAUCUGGACGAAGCAGCAGCAGAAGCCAGGAGCGACAUCGUUUCUUCGGAUUGUUUUAA